UACGAAGGGGGCUAGCGUUGUUCGGAAUUACUGGGCGUAAAGCGCACGUAGGCGGGCUGUUAAGUCAGGGGUGAAAUCCCGGGGCUCAACCCCGGAACUGCCUUUGAUACUGGCAGCCUAGAGUUCGAGAGAGGUGAGUGGAAUUCCGAGUGUAGAGGUGAAAUUCGUAGAUAUUCGGAGGAACACCAGUGGCGAAGGCGGCCCACUGGCUCGAAACUGACGCUGAGGUGCGAAAGCGUGGGGAGCAAACAGG
rnacentral:misc_RNA from 1 species